UGGGGAAUCUUGCGCAAUGGGCGAAGGCCUGACGCAGCCAUGCCGCGUGAAUGAUGAAGGUCUUAGGAUUGUAAAAUUCUUUCACCGGGGACGAUAAUGACGGUACCCGGAGAAGAAGCCCCGGCUAACUUCGUGCCAGCAGCCGCGGUAAUACGAAGGGGGCUAGCGUUGCUCGGAAUUACUGGGCGUAAAGGGAGCGUAGGCGGAUAGUUUAGUCAGAGGUGAAAGCCCAGGGCUCAACCUUGGAAUUGCCCUUGAUACUGGCUAUCUUGAGUACGGAAGAGGUAUGUGGAACUCCGAGUGUAGAGGUGAAAUUCGUAGAUAUUCGGAAGAACACCAGUGGCGAAGGCGACAUACUGGUCCGUUACUGACGCUGAGGCUCGAAAGCGUGGGGAGCAAACAGGAUUAGAUACCCCUGUAGUCCCUGAGCGGGCUGGCAAGGCGCAU
rnacentral:rRNA from 1 species